rnacentral:rRNA from 1 species
AACGAACGCUGGCGGCAGGCCUAACACAUGCAAGUCGAACGCCCCGCAAGGGGAGUGGCAGACGGGUGAGUAACGCGUGGGAACGUGCCCUUCGGUUCGGAAUAACUCAGGGAAACUUGAGCUAAUACCGGAUACGUCCGUAAGGAGAAAGAUUUAUCGCCGAAGGAUCGGCCCGCGUCGGAUUAGCUAGUUGGUGAGGUAACGGCCCACCAAGGCGACGAUCCGUAGCUGGUCUGAGAGGAUGANCAGCCACACUGGACUGAGACACGGCCCAGACUCCUACGGGAGGCAGCAGUGGGGAAUAUUGGACAAUGGGCGAAAGCCUGAUCCAGCCAUGCCGCGUGAGUGAAGAAGGCCUUAGGGUUGUAAAGCUCUUUCAGCGGGAAGAUAAUGACGGUACCCGCAGAAGAAGCCCCGGCUAACUCCGUGCCAGCCGCCGCGGU